rnacentral:lncRNA from 1 species
GAAAACAGCAAUUCUCAUCUCAAAGGGGGUGUUGGAACACCAUCAAUCCAUAAAUAACAAAUUUGACUAAUUUGCAAAUCUUCAAUCACCAUUAUUCACCAGGAAUUCACCAUUAUCUCUGCUACUGCUGGGGCGUGUGGUAUCUAGAAGUCGAGAUGCUCUCUAGCUCCAACACAAGUCGGCACCCAUUGAACAGCACAUACUUGACUUUGUCUUCCUUCGUCACACUCAGAUUGAAUUUGGUCUUCAUUUGGCUGCGCAAUACAUCGCAAGCCUCUUUGAUCUCAGGAUUAUACUCUCUCCUUGUCCUGGGGUCCUCCCUUUCUGAGUCGUUGCGCAUGCGCUCACACUCAU